rnacentral:tmRNA from 1 species
GGGGGCGUCACGGUUUCGACGGAGAUGCUUGCGGCCAAGAGGCAUGCCGGGGUGCACACACCCGUAAUCGAGUGCAAAACGAUAAUUGCCACACCACAAAUGGCAUACGCUGCUUAAUUAGUUAGGCAGCCGUUCUCCGCGGUUUCGCCCGUGGGCUGCGGAAGGACGUCAUUCAAUGGGCUGGUCUACCCCGCCACGUCUGAGUGGGGCGGACGAGAUCAUCAGGCUAGCGGCACCCGUUUCUUGUCGGUUCUGAGCGGGGGACGCGAACGUCCCAGGGUAAUGCCUGGGGCAUGAAUUCGACUAAGCAUGUAGUCUCUUGACCAGUAACAUUUUCGGACGCGGGUUCAACUCCCGCCGCCUCCACCA